AAAUCCUCUUAUUCUGUCUUUUAGCAUCCAGACCUCACCACAGGCCAGAAGCGUUACCUGUGCAGCAUUGCUAAAAUCUAUAAUGCAAACUAUCUGAAGAUGUUAAUGAAGAGGCAGUACAUGCACGUACUUCAGCACAGCUCACAAAAGCCAGGCAGGUGCACCUCCAGUUGUCUUUUCACUAGUUUUUACAAUUAGUGAGAGGGUCUUUUAACAGGUGAUUUGUAUCACAGGUGUCCUCACUCAUCACAGAAGCCGCCUUAGCUCCCGUUACUCACAGAAACAGCAUUACCCUUGCACUACAUGGCGACAUCAACUGGAGAGAGAGGACUCGGGGUCUUCUGAUAUCGCAGCUGCAUCUGCACCUGAAAUGCUCAUACAGCAUUCCCUUUGGCGGCCAGUGAGAAACAAAGAAGGGAUAAAAACUGGAUAUGCAUCUAAAACAAGAUGUAAGUCACUGAAGAUUUUUAGAAGACCAAGGAAACUGUUCAUGCAAACAGUUUCUUCAGAUGAUUCUGAAUCAUACAUGAGUGAAGAAAAAAAGGAAGAAGAUUUACUAAAUAAGUUUAUGCAAUCAAUGUCAAUUGAAGAACAGGGAGAACAUCUGAUGUUAACUUGACAGUCUUGUCUCGUGUAUUGAAUUCGUGCCAAAGGUGAGGGUAAGGGGUUGUGAGUUGUGUCCUGUAUGUUUAGGAUGGUAUUGUUAUUUAUUAAAUCAUUAAGUAAUUUUGGUUUGUUCAGAAACUUAAAACAAUGUAAUUGGUCUGAUGUAGUUCCAUGUACCAAUGACAGUUAUGUACGAAAAUUUACAUGUAACAUAUACUUGUACUUCUAGCUAGAUACAAUUAAAACUUUUCUUGCAUUCAA
rnacentral:sRNA from 1 species